AUACGGAGGGUGCGAGCGUUAAUCGGAAUUACUGGGCGUAAAGCGUACGUUGGCGGUUGGUUAAGUUAGAUGUGAAAGCCCCGGGCUUAACCUGGGAACUGCAUUUAAAACUGGCGAACUAGAGUUGAGUAGAGGGGUGUGGAAUUUCAGGUGUAGCGGUGAAAUGCGUAGAGAUCUGAAGGAACACCAGUGGCGAAGGCGACUCCCUGGACUCGAACUGACGCUGAGGUACGAAAGCGUGGGUAGCAAACGGGAUUAGAAACCCGGGUAGUCC
rnacentral:rRNA from 1 species